rnacentral:lncRNA from 1 species
CUUAGCCGAGGCUAAAACCGUGACAGAUGGUUAUUAUGUGAUUCUUGCUCCUUUUUUGUUGUUUUGCCAAACCUUGGGCUCCAUUUCCUACCCUGCAUUAAAACAGAUAAAAUAGUUCAAAUUAGAUAAUAAGCUAUUCAAUUAAGUACUCAAAAGUGGAUAAUGGAAAUGUUGUCUUCAUGCAUUAUCAUUUACAUACUGAAUCUGAUGUUAUUUCUUGAUUGGAACCUAUUCAUAAUUGAUUCUUAUUUUACUUUAAUCUAUUGGU